UUACCUGGAUGGCAGUAUAUGUUGUUCAAAACCUGUGUACAUCAUUCAGAAUUGAUUGUGCCUUGCCAGAUGUGCAAAAUGCCCAUUCCUAUGCUAGGUACUAAU